rnacentral:lncRNA from 1 species
GCACACCAGUUUCCUGCUCAGCACAGCUGCCUGCUCAGCUGGGGGUUGGAAAUCAGCACUGUGAGAAAAGACAGAAAUGACCGUGAUGCGUGCCUCUCUCUAUGAGGAAAAGGAGACAAUUCUACACGAGAUACGACUACAUGGAGUGUCUCCUACUCCCUCUGGACAUCAUGAAAAAGUCUUGUCUACAUACAGAACCCAUAAGCAGUCUAGACUCAUUUCCAAGGCAAGAGGGUUCAGAUGACCUCGGUAUGUUUAUGCCAUAGUUUCUGAAUUAUAAUUUUUCAAUAUAAGUUUUAUUUUGAGACCAAAACGGUGGAAUGAAAUUGCUUGACCUGUCCGUCUUUCCCUGGGAAGGCACCCUGAGUAUACAUCCAUCCAAUAAACAAGCCUGCCAAGCCUGAGCCAGCUGUCUCCUUCCCCAGCUUUAAGAACACACAUGGUAUGCACUCCCUGAUAAGUGGAUACUAGCCCAGAAGCUCAGAAUACAAUUUGCAAAACACAUGAAACUCAAGAAGAACAAAGACCAAAGUGUGGAUACUUCUACCCUUCUUAGAAGGGGGAACAUAACACCCAUGGGAGGAGUUACAGAGACAAAGUAUGGAGAGGAGACUGAAGAAAUGACCAUCCAGAGAUUGCCCCACUUGGGGAUCCAUCCCAUAUACAAUCACCAAACCCAGAUGCUAUUGCAGAUGCCAACAAGUGCUUGCUGACAGGAGCCUGAUAUAGCUGUCUCCUGAGAGACUCUGCCAGUGCCUGACAAAUACAGAAGUGGAUGCUCACAGUUAUCCAUUGGACUGAGCAUAGAGUCUCCAAUGAAUGAGCUACAGAAAGGACUUAAGGAGCUGAAGGAGUUUGCAGACCCAUAGGAAGAACAACAAUAUGAACUAACCAGUACCCCCCAGAGCUCCCAGGGACUAAACCACCAACAAAAAAGCAUACAUGGUGGGUCUCACGGCUCCAGCUGCAUAUGUAGCAGAGGAUGGCCUAAUUAGUCACUAGUGGGAGGAGAGGCCCUUGGUCCUGUGAAGGCUCUAUGCCCAGUGUCGGGGAAUGCCAGGGCGAAGAAGCAGGAGUGGGUGGGUUGGUGAGCAGGGAGAGGGGGAAGGGACAGGGGGAGGGUGUUUUUAGGAGGGAAACCCAUGAACCAGGAUAACAUUUGAAAUGUAAAUAAAGAAACUAUCCAACAACAACAACAACAACAACAACAACAACAAUAAUAAUAAUAAUAAUAAUAAACAGAGAAAGAUUGGAGGAAGGCUCGAUCUAAUUCAGGGUCGAAAUGACUGGCAAAGUUCUGGUAAAGUACAAUUUUCAAAGUUGUUGAGAUUAUAGAAUAUAAGAGUCAUGAGUAGCAGCCCUCCAAUCCCUCCUAGAUUUCCACUCAGAAAAAUAAAGUCCUCACUGGAAUCUGGGUCUUAGCACUGUCUAUCAAUCCACUCUGCCUUAGAAGAGUGGGCACCUUUGGCUUAACUCUGGCUUCAGAGACCAGAAUCAAGAUUCUGAAGAAAAGGUAGACUCCAAAUGGUAGUUGAAAGUGCAUACUUAUUAUGCUAACUGAUAGUCUGCUUAAGUUCAUUUUGAAUGGGCUUACUAGCAGUGAUUCACAUAAAAUUGUAGUCACAAGUGUUCCCCCAACCACCCUCCAAUGGAAAACACUGUGUCAAGACUGAAACACUCCAACGCAAUGGCUGCUGUUUGAGGUGCUGAUGUCACCUGACUGGGAGGGUUGUGACAGGUAGCACAGGUAGGUCUCACUGGUAGCCAUGGACUGGAGCUGUUACAAGCCAAGGAGGACAUGGGGAAAGCUGUACCUGUUCAUAGCUCUAUGGCGAUAACUGAACUAUGUAUAUAUUUAUUUUUUUAUUUCCUAUUUUAAUUAGAUCUUUGAGAAUCUUGCACAAUGUAUUUGGUCGUAUUUAGUCUUCCCUCAACUCCCUCCAGAUCCAGAUCCAUCCUUCAUCCUAAGCAAGUUAAUUUUGUAUCAUUUCAAAAACACAACAAAAAACAAACAAACAAAAAUAAAAUAAACAUCAAGUACAGUUUGUGCUGUU